rnacentral:rRNA from 1 species
CAUGGCUGUCGUCAGCUCGUGUCGUGAGAUGUCGGUUAAGUCCGCUAACGAGCGCAACCCUCGUCGUAUGUUAUAUGUGUCAUACGAGACUGCCGGUAAAAAGACCGGAGGAAGGUGAGGAUGAUGUCAAGUCAGCAUGACCUUUAUAUCCAGGGCUACACACACGCUACAAUGGUCUGUACAAUGGGUAGCCAAGCCGCGAGGCGGAGCCAAUCCUGAAAGCAGGCCUCAGUUCAGAUUGCAGUCUGCAACUCGACUGCAUGAAGCCGGAGUUGCUAGUAACCGCAGGUCAGCAAUACUGCGGUGAAUACGUUCCCGGGUCUU